UAAUAACCGAUAAGAAGUAUAUGUUUAUGGAUUAUUUAAACUUUUAAUUAUUUUCAUUCAUAAGUAAUAUUAAAAAGAAUAUGGAUUAUUAUUAUUGCCUUUUAUACAAAACCCUCUCUCCCGUCAAAUUUCUUCCCCAUCCUUCUUCCAACGGUAACUCUCUCUACUUCCUCUCCCCUCUCCCCUUCUCUUUCGCUCUCUGUGAGUAACCCAUCUUGCCGAUCCACACCAUCAUCUUCUCCUAGCCCUAAUGGCGCCAGAAUCAAGAGCGGCAGACCCCUCGAAAACCCAAUUCGUCUUCCAAAGUCCUUUUGUUCCACCGUCACCGUCAGAUCCCGACUCCAUGGUUCUUGAUUCCAAACCCUCGCCGGCUAAGUUGAAGAGCCCGCUUCCACCUAGGUCUCCCUCUUCUAACCCACUUAAGCGGAAGGUAUGAAGACCGUUCCUGAGAAUUCCAUCUCUGGAUUGUCUGAUUCGGGUAUGAAGGUGGUAGUGCGCUUGCUGCCGCCAUCCAAGGACGGAGAUGAAGGGGAUAAUAUAAUACAAAAGGUUAUGUGUCGAUGAAGUUAGCGGACAGUGGGCAGAUGCAGAUGAAUUCUUUAAUGAGGAACAGGCUAUGUGAAAGAGACCAGGCUAUUCGCAAACUGGAAAGGGAAAUAGAAGAUAAAGAUAGGGAAUUGCAAUCAAUUAAAUUAGACAACGACGCAGCUUGGGCCAAGGAUGAUCUUCUGCGGGAACAAGAUAAGGAAAUAGCAACUUAAAGUGGAAGAGGCACUAUCAGCAUUGACAUGUACAUGUGAUUUUAAGCAAGAACCAGGAGAGUGAGAGUUUUAGUGUGCCGUAUUUAGAAUUUGCCGAUAUCUUUUUCCCGUUUCAGCAAGUAUUCCUGAUAGUGGGGAUUCUUCGAGUAAUGCUAGAUAUUGGUUCUAACAACGAGAAGUUACUUAAUGAUCCUCUUUGAUUUAUUGGAGUUGAGGAGUCCCACAAUCUUUAUGUUCUGUUUGUUUCUCCAUCACUUUUUCAAGGCUGUUCAAUUGGAGUUCCAUCUUCAGGUUGACAUGAUUGUCUUGACAGAUGGAAGUCGUAUUCUUGGCCUCGGUGACCUUGGAGUUCAGGGAAUAGGAAUACCUCGGUGGUUACCUCGGUGACCUCUGUUUGUGUUUGCUAAGUUUCAACUAAUACUCUCAGUAUUUAUCUUUGUGCUUAUGUGAUAGAUUUCUUAUGCACUGUAGUGAUUUGGGGUGUUUUCUUAUUUUCUGCAUCUUAGCUACCUUAUUUGCUGCAUCUUAAUUGCUAACGAUUUAGGGAUCAUAAGCCUUGUCCUCUUUGUUGAAAAAAAAAAUGGUUGUUUGAAAGAGGAAUUACUAUUACUAUUACGUCAAAUUACAUAUUGAAUGAAAAAGAAAAUUACAAUUUCUUUUAGCGCUAUGUAAUGGUAGUCAGGUAUAGUAGUCAUGCCUUUGCUCUAGCUUAUAUAUUCAUGUCUAUGUUACUUUCACACUUCUAUUUAUUAAUUUCAUGAAGUCAGUGGGUUUGCAAAAUGAAAGAAUCGUCAUCCUUUUUAAACCACUAGUCCUAAUGUUUCAAAUGAAUUUUCCAAUUUCUUUUUGGGCUGAUGUUUCCAUAGCCCGUUUCUUAACAAAUUGCAUGCCCUCUUCCAUUUUUAAGGGUGAGAUACCUUUUUGUAUCUUAUGCCCCAAACAACAUUUGUUUCUCAUUCCACCCAAAAUAAUUGGUUAUACUUGAUUUGUCCAAGACGUUCGGCCUCAACAUACAAAGUUGGAUCCAAAGACCUUAAAAUAUAUCUUUUUGGUUAUUCUCGUGUUCUUUGAACAUUCCUCCUUUUAUUCCUCACCUUCUUUCUCUUCGAAUAUGAGUCGAGGGAGUAUCAAGAGUCAAAGGAUGAUUUCUUUAUCUACAAUGUUAUCUCUCCUUCUAAUCCUCUUUGUGGUUCAUCUUCACGUGUGUUUACUUCUAUUUGUCAACCCAUCACUGAAGUCUAUGAUCGACGAUAACCUUCUUCAAUUCCAUGCCCUACCCCUAAGGCUUCUUCGUCAUUGGAUCCAGAAAUGAGUGAUGAUCUUCCUAUUGCUCUUCGUAAAGGUAAACUUAAGUGUGCUCAUCUUAUUUCCUCUUCUGUUUCAUAUAACCAUUAGUUGUCUUCUGCAUGUUCUUUCAUUGCAUCAUUAGAGUUUGUAUCAUUAAGCCUAUUCUCAUCUUGGUUGGUGUGUUGCAAUGGUGGAGGAGAUGAUUACUUUAGAUGAUAAUUGUACUUGGGAUUUAGUUUCUCUCCCUGCACGAAAAAAGUAUAUCAGUUGCAAAUGGGUGGUUACAAUUAAAGUUAAUCCUGAUGGUUUUGUCGCUCAAUUAAAAGUACACCUUGUAGUGAAAGGCUACGCACAAACAUGGCGUUAACUAUGCUGAUACUUUUUCUCGAGUAGUAAAAAUGACAUUUGUGAGGUUGUUUAUUUCACUAACUUCAAUCAGUCACUGGCCUU